GAUGAACGCUGGCGGCGUGCUUAACACAUGCAAGUCGAACGAUGAUCUCCAGCUUGCUGGGGGAUUAGUGGCGAACGGGUGAGUAACACGUGAGUAACCUGCCCUUGACUCUGGGAUAAGCCUGGGAAACUGGGUCUAAUACCGGAUACGACUGCUCCGCGCAUGCGGUGGUGGUGGAAAGCUUUUGCGGUUUUGGAUGGACUCGCGGCCUAUCAGCUUGUUGGUGGGGUAAUGGCCUACCAAGGCGACGACGGGUAGCCGGCCUGAGAGGGUGACCGGCCACACUGGGACUGAGACACGGCCCAGACUCCUACGGGAGGCAGCAGUGGGGAAUAUUGCACAAUGGGCGAAAGCCUGAUGCAGCGACGCCGCGUGAGGGAUGACGGCCUUCGGGUUGUAAACCUCUUUCAGUAGGGAAGAAGCGAAAGUGACGGUACCUGCAGAAGAAGCGCCGGCUAACUACGUGC
rnacentral:rRNA from 1 species